AUACUGGCAGAUGUUAAACACAAAGGGACACAGCCCAGAGGCAGCUGGCCAUGGAGCAGAGAACUCAGUGAAAGGCAGAAAACUCUGACAAGCCUUUUCCAGUAGUUGUUUGUAUCAGAGGAUGUGGAAUCUGAGGAUAUAGAACCCGCAGAUACAGAAGACGCUGGCUGUAUGAGGAAAUGAUAAGCCACAGGCAGCAAGAAUUAAUGUAAAACAGAGAAUGAUCAGCAGAACACAGAAAAGUAAAAGAGAGGCGGCGUCACAGGAAACUGGAUGUGAAGACUGUAAUACAUCUCUGCAAAAUAUUCAAUACUCCUGUCUGCAAAAGGCAAGUUCUC
rnacentral:lncRNA from 10 species